CUGCGGGUGUGUACAAGGGUGAAGGGAGUCUUUAACAAAAGGCCUGCUACGCCAGGUAACGCCGCCAUGUUCGGUCUAGAUUCCUGGCCUAACAUUACCUAGGCAGAUAGAAAACAGACCCUCCCUCAGGAGAUAACUUCUCUCCCCUGUAGUUAAUAGAAUUUCUACUGGGAUUAGCUACAAAUGAUAUAUGGGACACUCCUUAGUUUUAUCUUCAUAUGAAGGCAGACUUUGUCUCAAGGAUGAAAUCGUACUUCAUUUUGGAGAUGCAAAACAAAUAUGAAGAUGAGAGGGAAGGAGAAGAAAAAUGUGAGACAUGAGGAAAAGUGAACAAUGUUGUGCUCAUGAGGAAGGUAUUGACUCUACUGCUUCUGAAGGCAAUUUUGAGGGCAAUUGCAGCCAAACAAGUCAGCAACACUGGUAUUCAGGACAAGCCACAGCAGAUAUCAUGCCCUCUCUACAGUGUCACAAUUCAUUAUGUGGCUCACAGUUCCAUCCCUCUGAGUCGUUGCUCAUCAAUCAUACUGGGAAGCUGACUUUUAUUCCGCACACUUCACCACUAACUGCAUUACAGAGCUGAAAAACUUACUCAAAGUUUAGAAUGUGAUAAACGUAAUCAAAUUGCUCUAGUCAAAUUCUAACAGCGGUGAAUAGAUGACACUAAUUACCUUUUCUUAUUAUGCUACAAAUGUGGUUUACUCCAUCUUUAUUCAUGAAGAAAUAUCAUGCAGCCCACCGAGAGGACUGCAAGCAGGAUGUAAUAUUGGCUUAUUUGUUUCUUUAGUUUUACUUCUUUCUUUACCAGCAUCCAAAAUAUGCAAUUUUAAGCUGCAAUAUAUUUAUAUGCGGUAGUUUUUUACCCACUUUGGAAGAUAAUUGCUACCCAUUGCAAAGCCUCACAAUUCUGCAUAAACAAGUGCUUUCGAAACUCCAGUAAAAUGAUGUAAACUUUUUUUUGUGGUGGUUGGCACUUACUUUUGUUUCAGAGUAAGUGAUAUUUAUUUUAAACGAGUUAACACAGAAAAAAAUGAAGCAUGUGCUAAAAAAUGCAUCGAGAUGAGAGAAACUGAACCACUCUUUUCAGAAAAAAAUAUGGAACUAUGCCACAUUUAAAGUUUUUUCUACAUUUUUACAUGUGGAAAUUUCUCACUAAUUCACCUUGAAACUAGUUUAUAGGAAAUAGUUAUUCAAACUUGCUUACAUGCUGUCUGGUUGAAAUAAUUUACAUACGUAUUUCCAGUGGUCAUUGUAGAGCCAAGUUUCAAAAACUUGUCACCAGAUGAUUACAUGCUCUUUCUAUACAUCAAAUGCUGUACUGGGCACGAUUAUCUGUGAAAGUUUCUGUUUUCAUUUGUCAGAUAACCAGAAACUAUUUUGUUUUAAUGCUUGCAAGGUUAAACCAACCUCAAUAUUUUCUCAUAAGUCCAUAAGGCUUACUUACAAUACUAAAGGUUAGGACAUGAAAAUAUUAAGCAGAAGUAUGCUUAUAACAUGCUAAGUACAAUAGAAUAUUAAUUGAUUUUUAGAACCAUUAAAUUCUUAACAUUACAAUGGAAA
ensembl:lincRNA